UCUGUAGUUCAGUCGGUAGAACGGCGGACUGUUAAUCCGUAUGUCACUGGUUCGAGUCCUCACGAU
rnacentral:tRNA from 1 species